CCCUUAGAUGUUCUGGGCCGCACGCGUGCUACACUGAGUGGAUCAGCGGGUCAGGUUGCGCGAAAGUGUUUCCUAAUCUUGAAAUCCGCUCGUGAUGGGGAUUGACGGUUGCAAUUUUCCGUCAUGAACGAGGAAUACCUUGUAAGCGCGGGUCAUCAUCCCGCGCUGAAUACGUCCCUGCCCUUUGUACACACCGCCCGUCGCUCCUACCGAUUGAAUGUGUUGGUGAGGAGCUCGGAUUGGCAGCAGUUGGUGGUUCGCCACCGGCUAUUGCUGAGAAGUCCUCCAAACCGCCCCAUUUAGAGGAAGGAGAAGUCGUAACA
rnacentral:rRNA from 1 species